rnacentral:rRNA from 1 species
AUUGAACGCUGGCGGCAGGCCUAACACAUGCAAGUCGAACGAGUGGCGGACGGGUGAGUAAUGUCUGGGAAACUGCCCGAUGGAGGGGGAUAACUACUGGAAACGGUAGCUAAUACCGCAUACCAUCGGAUGUGCCCAGAUGGGAUUAGCUUGUAGGUGAGGUAACGGCUCACCUAGGCGACGAUCUCUAGCUGGUCUGAGAGGAUGACCGAGCACACGGGAACUGAAACACGGUCCAGACUGCUACGGGAGGCAGCAGUGGGGAAUAUUGCACAAUGGGCGCAAGCCUGAUGCAGCCAUGCCGCGUGAAGGAAGUAGGCCUUCGGCUUGUAAAGUACUUUCAGCGGGGAGGCGUGACCCGCAGAAGAAGCACCGGCUAACUCCGUGCCAGCAGCCGCUGUAAUAC